GAAACACGGACCAAGGAGUCUAGCAUGUGCGCGAGUCAUUGGGAAUCACUAAACCUAAAGGCGCAAUGAAAGUGAAGGCCCGCCCAGCGCGGGCCGAGGGAAGAUGGGCGGUUACGGUUUCCGUGCCGCUCCGCACUCCCGGGGCGUCUCAUUCUCAUUGCGAGAAGAGGCGCACCAAGAGCGUACACGCUGGGACCCGAAGAUGGUGAACUAUGCCUGGUCAGGACGAAGUCAGGGGAAACCCUGAUGGAGGUCCGUAGCGAUUCUGACGUGCAAAUCGAUCGUCGGAACUGGGUAUAGGGGCGAAAGACUAAUCGAACCAUCUAGUAGCUGGUUCCCUCCGAAGUUUCCCUCAGGAUAGCUGGCGCUCGUCGCCUACGAGUCUCAUCCGGUAAAGCGAAUGAUUAGAGGCAUUGGGGUCGAAACGGCCUCAACCUAUUCUCAAACUUUAAAUGGGUGAGAUCUCCGGCUUGCUCGAACUUAUGAAGCCGCGAGACACGGAUCAGAGUGCCAAGUGGGCCAUUUUUGGUAAGCAGAACUGGCGCUGUGGGAUGAACCAAACGCCGAGUUAAAGCGCCUAAAUCGACGCUUAUGGGAUACCAUGAAAGGCGUUGGUAACUUAAGACAGCAGGACGGUGGCCAUGGAAGUCGGAAUCCG
rnacentral:rRNA from 1 species